CUUUGCUGGCGACCGGCGCACGGGUGAGUAACACGUAUCCAACCUACCCUUUACUCGGGGAUAGCCUUUCGAAAGAAAGAUUAAUACCCGAUAGCAUAAUGAUUCCGCAUGGUUUCAUUAUUAAAGGAUUCCGGUAAAGGAUGGGGAGUGCGUUCCAUUAGGUUGUUGGUGGGGUAACGGCCCACCAAGCCUUCGAUGGAUAGGGGUUCUGAGAGGAAGGUCCCCCACAUUGGAACUGAGACACGGUCCAAACUCCUACGGGAGGCAGCAUG
rnacentral:rRNA from 1 species